UACGGAGGGUGCGAGCGUUGUCCGGAAUCACUGGGCGUAAAGGGCGCGUAGGCGGCGCGGGCAGUCAACGGUGAAAGCUCGGAGCUCAACUCCGAGUCGGCCGUCGAUACUCCCGUGCUUGAGCACUGUAGAGGCAGAUGGAAUUCCUGGUGUAGCGGUGAAAUGCGCAGAUAUCAGGAAGAACACCCGUGGCGAAGGCGGUUCUCUGGGACGGUACUGACGCUGAGACGCGAAAGCGUGGGGAGCGAACAGG
rnacentral:rRNA from 1 species